GUUGAGUCAACAGGGACUCUUCUUGCUGGAGAGGACCAUCAAAAGCACUGUAAUGGUGAAGGUGUGGGCAAAGGCACAAGAAGAAGAAAGGUUUAUGAGGUCUGCAUUGUUACCAAGAAGUGAUAUGGUUUGCAGCUGUAUGAGCUUAACUUUUGGUAUCCUGGUUCUUUUGUGCCCAUUUGGUUUGACUAGACCAGUUUUUGUUAGCUACUGGUGCAAUAUACAUGCUGUCAGAGGUAGAGUGAAACUUUUUGCCACUGAGGAGAAUGUAGCAAAACAGGAGGAGAGGAAGAGGAGGAGGAAGAGGGGAAGGGGGAAGAGGAAUCAGAGAUAGAGCUCAGAGUUAGGGAUUUUUUUUUUUGUAUUUGUUUUCACUCAGGGUGCCCUGAAUUAAAAAGUAAUGAGACGUACUGUACUAAUCCUUAUUUUAUACACUAGUGUUAAGAAUAACAGUGCUGUUUCACAUACAUCACAGCUUCUAGAGAUAAAGACAUGUGGGUAUGACACCUCAUUUUUGGGAUUAUUUAACCCUUCGUAGCCUAGAACAUAUAAUAGCUCUGUAAGAAAGGACUGUCCAGUGUCACAAACAGACUAGAAAGCAGAGUGAGGUCAAAGGAUUCUGGGAGCACCAUGAUAAAAUAUAACCCAUUCAGAGCCUGGUUAUGUGCUUUCAUUUCACUUUAAGCAGGUGUGCUGGCAGAUGGACUUCCAACAUGUAGAUAGAUGUAUUUAUUUGCUCAUCAGAACUUUCUAAACUAAAAAUUCAUUUAAAAAAAAAACACCACCCAAACAAAAUUAAAACCAACUUGUAUAUGAAAAUAUAGGGAAGAAAUGCUUUAAACAAUGUUAGAUUUAAGAGACUUAAAGCAAACCUUAGGAUUGCCUCUAUGCAGAUACUUAAAAGCCACUUAAAAACUGUUUCCAAGGCCUACAUUUAACCCCCACCCCAAAGCUAAUGGAUUGUUUUUGAUUUUUAAAGAAAUGCCUGGUGUAUAUGUAUUUGGAGAAGUGUCUUCCCAGCCUUGUAAACUUUGGUUGUCUACACAGCCUGCAGCACUGCUGACUUUCCUAAAGCACACAACCACAUCCUGGGCUACUGUUUUCAAAACUAACAAGUAGUUCUGGUCUGGACCCUGGACAACGAAGGGUUAAUGGAUUCAUACUAUACUUUGCUGAACAUGUUUAACCUGCUGAUCGUUUGGAAAAUAGUACUGGUGCUUUUCAAAAUUCCGAUUUUGGUCCAUCAGAUCAGUCUUUGGCUGACUUCCCUUUUUGUAAGAAUACUGUGUAACCUGGCAUUCAGCAGUGUUAAAGCUGUCAGUCUACACCUCAGCAUUUGGAGCUUUAAUGAUUUUUAUUUUUGUAAAAUUAGAAAUACUUAAACGACCUUACAGCAAUAUGCAUGCACUGUCCUUUUUUUUUUUUAAAGUAGGAUAUCUUAUUUUAUUUUUUUAAAAAAGUCCCUAAAAAUGAUUUAAAAAAAAAAAGAAAAGAAAAAUGUCACGACUACUCUAUGCUACAGCUAAACUUGAUGAAAUGGCUCUAGCAUAUUUAAAAAGAGUUUGCUCAAAAAAAAAAAGCAUGCCUAGGGAGUCAUUGUGACAGUGCAAAAUACAUUUAUGUACAUCCCUCUUACAAAAACACCAAUAUGUUAGCAUUCCGUGAAGCAUGCUGGUUUUCAGGAAAAAAAUCCUAUAAGAGAGUGAGAUAGCAGCUCCGAAAGAUAGCUUUUUUCUUUUCUUGAGGACAACCAAAAAGAGUCUUUUUUUCCUUUUUUUUUUUUUAACUACUAGAGAAAUAUCACUAAUACAUACAGAUAUAAAAGCAGCAUAGAAAGAUACAGGUUUCUCACCAACUAGGAAUAAAGAGACUAAAUGUGGGCA
rnacentral:lncRNA from 13 species